AGUGAACGCUGGCGGUAGGCCUAGCACAUGCAAGUCGAACGGCAGCACAGGAGAGCUUGCUCUCUGGGUGGCGAGUGGCGGACGGGUGAGGAAUACAUCGGAAUCUACUCUGUCGUGGGGGAUAACGUAGGGAAACUUACGCUAAUACCGCAUACGACCUACGGGUGAAAGCAGGGGACCUUCGGGCCUUGCGCGAUUGAAUGAGCCGAUGUCGGAUUAGCUAGUUGGUGGGGUAAAGGCCCACCAAGGCGACGAUCCGUAGCUGGUCUGAGAGGAUGAUCAGCCACACUGGAACUGAGACACGGUCCAGACGCCUACGGGAGGCAGCAGUGGGGAAUAUUGGACAAUGGGCGCAAGCCUGAUCCAGCCAUACCGCGUGGGUGAAGAAGGCCUUCGGGUUGUAAAGCCCUUUUGUUGGGAAAGAGAUCCAGCUGGCUAAUACCCGGUUGGGAUGACGGUACCCAAAGAAUAAGCACCGGCUAACUUCGUGCCAGCCGCCGCGGUAA
rnacentral:rRNA from 1 species